CGUUGACUUCCGGGUGGUUCCUUUAGAAUGGAGAAUGUAGACAUGUGGUUCACACCUUGUUAAUAGUAAAAGAAUGCGGAUCGCUUUUCUAGCUGUGAUAUAUCUAGGAUCACUACUGUUUUUAUCAUACUGUGGAAACGAUCCUGCCAUUAAAGGAUAUGCCAAACGGAUAGAAAAGUUUAAACCACCCCCGCCUCCGCCUCGUCCAACCUCUGACGAUAAAAAAGAAUGGGAAGCCUACUGCAGUUACCGUGAUCAACACCAAAGACCACUUGCUGAUUUUGAAUGUCAAAUGCGAAGUGCUAACGGUCAAAGAUUCUGAAAAGGGUCAUGGGUUUACGUGC